rnacentral:lncRNA from 1 species
AGCUUGCAGGGAUGUGUGCGUUGGCUGGAGGGGAUGUCUGGAGGAGCUGGGAAGUAACCAGAUGACUGACAGCGAUUCAGGCUCGAUGCCUUAUGGAGGGGACAGGCGAACAGACCUGCUCCUUCCUUUGUGUUGCCAGUCAGGUCCUCCCUCUGCAGUCUUACACAGGAAGAAGAUUUAUAACAGCUGCAUGCAAUGCCAGUGUCUCAAAGAAACAGUAUCACGCCAUGUGGAGGAUUUUUGUUUGGGGUUUGUUUUCUCCACUGAAUUGGAAAGGCUCUUGGUGGCCUGCUUCUUACCUCCCUGACUAGUGGCAUGUAUUAAAUCAAUGUGUAUAAAGUCACCACUGGAACCCAGUGACAGACCUUGAUUAACUGUGCUUAAUCUAUUCCCACAGAAAAAUGGACCAAAGAAAGUGUUCUAAAACAAGAUAAUAAAAUGUUAUCAUUUCUCCUCUCUCA